AGUGAACGCUGGCGGUAGGCCUAACACAUGCAAGUCGAACGGCAGCACAGUAAGAGCUUGCUCUUACGGGUGGCGAGUGGCGGACGGGUGAGGAAUACAUCGGAAUCUACUUUUUCGAGGGGGAUAACGUAGGGAAACUUACGCUAAUACCGCAUACGACCUACGGGUGAAAGCAGGGGAUCUUCGGACCUUGCGCGAUUGAAUGAGCCGAUGUCGGAUUAGCUAGUUGGCGGGGUAAAGGCCCACCAAGGCGACGAUCCGUAGCUGGUCUGAGAGGAUGAUCAGCCACACUGGAACUGAGACACGGUCCAGACUCCUACGGGAGGCAGCAGUGGGAAAUAUUGGACAAUGGGCGCAAGCCUGAUCCAGCCAUACCGCGUGGGUGAAGAAGGCCUUCGGGUUGUAAAGCCCUUUUGUUGGGAAAGAAAAGCAGCAGGUUAAUACCCCGCUGUUCUGACGGUACCCAAAGAAUAAGCACCGGCUAACUUCGUG
rnacentral:rRNA from 1 species